CCCAGUGACUGUUCUGGGACAUCAUGGACUGUCAUGCUAACAUAUUAUGGUAGCAACAUCAGUUCCUACAGAAUACAGACUUUCAUUAGAGAACUACCCCAUGCAGUUACAGAUAUUGCAGUCUUCACAGAGCAGGGGUUAGUCACAAACGGACAGGUCCUCUAGGGCUCUUCAUUUACAAUCUGGGACAGCAGAACUUCAUCCUUCAGUACCUAAAAGGAUGUCUACAAGAGAGCUGGUCUGCAGAGGAAGCCAUUUCCUUCAAAUACAAACAAAGCAGAUGUUUUCUUCUGCUAGACCUCAUACUAUAAGGAAACUGCAG